rnacentral:rRNA from 1 species
GACAGAGGUUGCAAACGUUGUUCGGAAUCACUGGGCAUAAAGCGCACGUAGGCGGUCUGUUAAGUCAGGUGUGAAAGCCCCCGGCUCAACCGGGGAACAGCAUUUGAUACUGGCAGACUCGAGGAUGGUAGGGGUGAGUGGAACUCCAGGUGGAGCGGUGAAAUGCGUAGAUAUCUGGAGGAACACCGGUGGCGAAAGCGGCUCACUGGACCAUCACUGACGCUGAGGUGCGAAAGCUAGGGUAGCAAACGGG